GACGAACGCUGGCGGCGUGCUUAACACAUGCAAGUCGAGCGGUAAGGCCCUUUCGGGGGUACGACGAGCGGCGAACGGGUUGAGUAACACGUGGGUGACCUGCCCUCAGCUCUGGGAUAAGCCUGGGAAACCGGGUCUAAUACUGGAUAUGACUCCAUGACGCAUGUUGUGGGGUGGAAAGCCUUGUGCGGCUGAGGAUGGGCCCGCGGCCUAUCAGCUUGUUGGUGGGGUGAGGCCUACCAAGGCGACGACGGGUA
rnacentral:rRNA from 1 species